UGAUAACUUGUGUCUUUCACAGAACUCAUCCAUUGCAUCUAAGAUGAAGAAUUUCCUGGCAUACGGUCCUUCAUGGUUAGAAUGAUUCCCUUAUUCUCCUGUUAUUUUAUUUAUUAAUUUUCAUUUUUGGAGACAGGUUCUCUGUCGUCUAAGGCUGGAGUGCAGUGGUGUGAUCACUGCACUGCUCACCGCAGCCUAGAUGCUCCCCCCAGUGAGGUGAUCCUCCCACUGCAGCCUCCCAAGUAGCUGGAAGUACAAGCAUAUGCCACCACGCAUGGGUAAUUUUUCUAAUUUUUGUAGAGAUGGGGUUUUGCUAUGUUGUCCAGGCUGGUCUCGAACUCCUGAGCUCAAAUGAUCCACCCGCCUUGGCCUCUCAAAGUGCUGGAAUUACAGGCGCGAGUCCCCACACCUGGCCCCGUGGUUAAUUUGUCACAGUG